rnacentral:rRNA from 1 species
GAUGAACGCUGGCGGCGUGCCUAAUACAUGCAAGUCGAACGAGGCCCUUUGUAUUCGUACGAAGGUGUCCUAGUGGCGAACGGGUGAGUAACGCGUUGGUGACCUGCCCCGAAGUUUGGGAUAACCCUACGAAAGUGGGGCUAAUACCAAAUGUGGUCAUCGGAUUUAGAAACCGAUGUCUAAAGGAUUUAUUCGCUUCGGGAGGGGCCUGCGUCCCAUCAGCUAGUUGGUAGGGUAACGGCCUACCAAGGCUACGACGGGUAGGGGACCUCAGAGGGUGGCCCCCCACAAUGGAACUGAAACACGGUCCAUACACCUACGGGUGGCAGCAGUAGGGAAUAUUGCACAAUGGGCGAAAGCCUGAUGCAGCAACGCCGCGUGUGCGAAGAAGGCCUUCGGGUCGUAAAGCACUUUUCUGGGAGAUGAGAAAGGACAGUAUCCCAGGAAUAAGUCUCGGCUAACUACGUGCCAGCAGCCGCGGUAAAACGUAGGAGGCGAGCGUUAUCCGGAUUUACUGGGCGUAAAGCGCGUGUAGGCGGUUUGGUAAGUUGGGCGUGAAAGCUCCCGGCUCAACUGGGAGAGGUCGUCCAAGACUACCAGAC